UACACUCCUGCGGGAGGCAGCAGUGGGGAAUAUUGCACAAUGGGCGCAAGCCUGAUGCAGCCAUGCCGCGUGUAUGAAGAAGGCCUUCGGGUUGUAAAGUACUUUCAGCGGGGAGGAAGGCAAUACGGUUAAUAACCGUGUUGAUUGACGUUACCCGCAGAAGAAGCACCGGCUAACUCCGUGCCAGCAGCCGCGGUAAUACGGAGGGUGCAAGCGUUAAUCGGAAUUACUGGGCGUAAAGCGCACGCAGGCGGUCUGUCAAGUCGGAUGUGAAAUCCCCGGGCUCAACCUGGGAACUGCAUUCGAAACUGGCAGGCUUGAGUCUUGUAGAGGGGGGUAGAAUUCCAGGUGUAGCGGUGAAAUGCGUAGAGAUCUGGAGGAAUACCGGUGGCGAAGGCGGCCCCCUGGACAAAGACUGACGCUCAGGUGCGAAAGCGUGGGGAGCAAACAGGAUUAGAAACCCCGGUAGUCCCAUGAU
rnacentral:rRNA from 1 species